CUGGUAUACCUUCUUCCAAGGGAAGCUAAGGAGUGACAGACCCUUUGUUCUAAGCAGCCCUAUCACAAUCUGCACUCUAAAUUCUCUAGGAUACCUGCCAAGUCUCGCCUACGCCUGUGCCCUGCACCCGCCACUUGCUGUCAGCUCCCACGUCCCUCCCUCUGCCCCGCUACCAGAAAAUAAUCACAUUUCCAUCAGCUCAGGGUGCAAUCGGGGCAAUCCCACUCGACCCAGGAUCAGCAUUAUUUGCCCAGUGUUCCCCACAGGGCUGCAGCACCUGAGCUUGGUGGGGAAACCGCAAGAAAGGCCCUAUUUCCAUCGGCAAGCGAGGAUGUGCACAUGAGACAGAUUCAUCUGAACACAUAUUAAUAUCAUUUGGCCUAACAUUUAGCACUUGAUUUUCUGUUUAGCUGACCUAGCCUGAGUGCUCAGCCAGAGGAAGCCCUGUGAUCUCAAAAGGCAACGUCAAAAAGCAGAAAAACCCAACACAAAACACACCCAAAGACCCAGAAAAUCUGGAGCGUGGCGGCAGGAAAAACUGAGGCGGAGUGUCUGCUCUGCAAAUGAUUUUCCAGUUGACAUUUCCCCCGGGCCCUCCCUGAAGAGCCCCGUGCAGGCCGGGCUGUUUGGGCCGGGGAUGGGCUGGGCCGCGGCAGGCAGCCCCUCACGGGACAGCCACACAGCUCAGAGAGCACUUGAUUCAAAAAAGCACCGGUUUACAACCCUAAGCAAACUCUCUGAAAGAAUGUGUUUGCCCACGCAGCGCUGCUGAGAGGCACGGAAGAAAGCGAUUUUAAGGGCUCUUUAAACUGGAAUGUAGACGUAUCAAAGGUAAAACCCUGAAGUGCACAGGUCUCAAAUUCCUCCCACUGAGCCCUGCCAGGACCAGCCCUCCUGCAGUCUCCUCAGAGGCAGAGCAGAACAGAAUUAUCUCAGUGCCAUCUUAGAGAUGCCAUAUGGCCACCACUCCUGAAUUCACUUUGGUCACCAGUUUGUGUUAAGAGAUGACACCAACCUGCAGCAUUUCAGCUACACUGUGAUUACUGCUACAGCUCUAGAAGCACACAUUGCAAUUGUGAAAUUGCUAAUAAAAUGAAUAAAUGGGUGGGGGA